UCUAUGGACUUCGGUCCAUGGCGGACGGCUCAGUAACACGUGGUUAACCUACCCUUAGGUGGGGGAUAACCUUGGGAAACUGAGGAUAAUACCCCAUAGGAAAAGAGGUUUGGAAUAAUCCUUUUCUGAAAGGACAUCCGCCUAAGGAUGGGACUGCGUCUGAUUAGGUAGUUGGUGGGGUAAUGGCCCACCAAGCCUACGAUCAGUACGGGCCUUGAGAGAGGGAGCCCGGAGAUGGGGACUGAGACACGGCCCCAGGCCCUACGGGGCGCAGCAGGCGCGAAACCUCCACAAUGCCGAAAGUGCGAUGGGGGAAUCCCAAGUGCCUAUGUAAAACAUAGGCUUUUCCCAAGUUUAAACAACUUGGGGAAUAAGGCUGGGCAAGUCCGGUGCCAGCAGCCCGGUACCCGCGGCCCAGUGGUACCACUCUUAUUGGGCC
rnacentral:rRNA from 1 species